CCCAGCUUGGGACAUUGAGUAAUUUAAUGGUACAUUCUUGUUGCCCUGAUACAUGGAUUGGUACAAGAUCCAGUCUGGGCUCUCUAUUUCACUGAAACUUUGGAUAAAGCAAAAUUUCUUCUCUGCAUGUAUUGCUGGAACAAUAAAAUGUAGAUUGAGCUGCUAAAGCCAACUCCAACCUCAUGAAGUGGAAAUCACUGGUUGCAAGUAAAGACUAUACAAAGGAACACAGUCCAGAUAUGAACUUCUCAAUUAAAAAAGAAACUUCCUUUUGUCUAAGCUACUUCAGUUCAGCAGCUACAGUUCCUUUGUGAGAGUAAGGAGCAGCCUGACCUCUGAAAUUCCAAGGAUGGAAAACCAGAGGGUAAACUCAAGGAUGCUGAACAUGAAAAUCCAUAUUGGAACCAGCAAGGAUACUGCUUGCACACCCACAGCUCCUCCCUGAACUCCUGUUUCUCUCUCCCACCAGCACCUGCAUGUCUGUACUCUCUGGGAAGUUUUCCUUUCUCAAAUUCCCACCAACUCCCUAUAAGAAUCUCUGGCUUGACCAGAGAUGGCAAGCUUGGCUUUGGGACUAGAGUCCUCCAUCUUCCAGGUUAUCAGCAUCUGAAAUAAUCUGCUUUCCUUUCUCACUAGCACUUGUCCCAUGUUUUGGGCAUUUACUGCAGCAGGCGGCCAGACCUGCAUUUGAUUACAUAAUGAAUAUCACAUGUUCACUCUUAUAUGUGAAAUUUUUAAAAAAAUCAAGAAAUCAAGCUCAUAGAUACAGAGAGCAGAUUGGUGACUGCCAGAAGUGAGGGGUGGAAGUGGAUAAAGAGGGUGAACUGUAUGUUAUUUUUAUUUUUUUAGUUUAAAUAAAUUGAGUAGUUUUUAAAAAGUA